UACGUAGGGAGCAAGCGUUGUUCGGAUUUACUGGGCGUAAAGGGCGCGUAGGCGGCGCGGUAAGUCACUUGUGAAAUCUCUGAGCUUAACUCAGAACGGCCAAGUGAUACUGCAGUGCUAGAGUGCAGAAGGGGCAAUCGGAAUUCUUGGUGUAGCGGUGAAAUGCGUAGAUAUCAAGAGGAACACCUGAGGUGAAGACGGGUUGCUGGGCGGACACUGACGCUGAGUGCGCGAAAGCCAGGGGAGCAAACGGG
rnacentral:rRNA from 1 species